rnacentral:rRNA from 1 species
GACGAACGCUGGCGGCGUGCUUAACACAUGCAAGUCGAACGGAAAGGCCCUGCUUUUGUGGGGUGCUCGAGUGGCGAACGGGUGAGUAACACGUGAGUAACCUGCUCUUGACUUUGGGAUAACUUCAGGAAACUGGGGCUAAUACCGGAUAGGAGCUCCUGCUGCAUGGUGGGGGUUGGAAAGUUUCGGCGGUUGGGGAUGGACUCGCGGCUUAUCAGCUUGUUGGUGGGGUAGUGGCUUACCAAGGCUUUGACGGGUAGCCGGCCUGAGAGGGUGACCGGCCACAUUGGGACUGAGAUACGGCCCAGACUCCUACGGGAGGCAGCAGUGGGGAAUAUUGCACAGUGGGCGGAAGCCUGAUGCAGCGGCGCCGCGUGCGGGAUGACGGCCUUCGGGUUGUAAACCGCUUUCGCCUGUGACGAAGCGGGAGUGACGGUAAUGGGUAAAGAAGCACCGGCUAACUACGUG